rnacentral:rRNA from 2 species
GAAUCAUUAAAACUUUCAACAACGGAUCUCUUGGUUCCGGCAUCGAUGAAGAACGCAGCGAAAUGCGAUAAGUAAUGUGAAUUGCAGAAUUCCGUGAAUCAUCGAAUCUUUGAACGCACAUUGCGCCCCCUGGCAUUC